CUCUUCCGCAUCGGGGAGUAGCCACCGCUCAGACAGCGGGAUCACGCCAACAGGCUCGCGCCAUGCGCGUGGUGUGAUCAGCCGGUUUUUCACCGGCCCGGCAAGACCGUGGUGAAACUCGCCUUUGUCGGACAGGUGAGGGCCACCCGGUU
rfam:Kaistia sp. SCN 65-12 ABS35_C0010, whole genome shotgun sequence.